UGCAGUCGCACGAGAACGCUUCAGCUUGCUGUAGCUAGUAAAGUGGCGAACGGGUGCGUAACGCGUGGGUAAUCUACCUCUGAAUUGGGGAUAACAUUGCGAAAGCGAUGCUAAUACCGGAUAAUAUCUAGAAAUCCCCGGGUUUUUAGAUCAAAGGUGGCCUCUACAUGUAAGCUAUUGUUUGGAGAUGAGCCCGCGUACCAUUAGCUUGUUGGUAGGGUAAUGGCCUACCAAGGCAACGAUGGUUAGCUGGUCUGAGAGGAUGAUCAGCCACACUGGAACUGACACACGGUCCAGACUCCUACGGGAGGCAGCAGUGAGGAAUUUUGCGCAAUGGGGGAAACCCUGACGCAGCAACGCCGCGUGAGUGAUGAAGGCUUUCGGGUCGUAAAGCUCUGUCAAGUGGGAAGAAUCUGUAAGAUGUUAAUACCAUCUUUCACUGACGGUACCACUGAAGGAAGCACCGGCUAACUCCGUGCCAGCAGCCGCGGUAAUACGGGGGGUGCAAGCGUUAUUCGGAAUCAUUGGGCGUAAAGAGCGCGUAGGCGGUCUCUUAAGUCAGAUGUGAAAGCCCGGGGCUUAACCCUGGAAGUGCAUUUGAAACUAAGAGACUUGAGUAUGGGAGAGGGAAGUGGAAUUCCUGGUGUAGCGGUGAAAUGCGUAGAUAUCAGGAGGAACACCGGUGGCGAAGGCGACUUCCUGGACCAAUACUGACGCUGAGGCGCGAAGGCGUGGGUAGCAAACAGGAUUAGAUACCCUGGUAGUCCACGCAGUAAACGGUGCAGUCGCA
rnacentral:rRNA from 1 species